GAGUGUCUUUGAAACAGAAGCUAGCCAGGACAGUGGCCAUGGAAGUAGGAAUCCGCCAGGGAGUGUGUAACAACUCAUCUGCAGAAUCAACUAGCCUUAGAAAUGGAUGGGGCUAGA
rfam:Tupaia chinensis contig102446, whole genome shotgun sequence.